GACGAACGCUGGCGGCGUGCCUAAUACAUGCAAGUCGAGCGCAGGAAACUGACGGAACUCUUCGGAGGGAAGGCAGUGGAAUGAGCGGCGGACGGGUGAGUAACACGUAAGGAACCUGCCUCAAGGAUUGGGAUAACUCCGAGAAAUCGGAGCUAAUACCGGAUAGUUCAUCGGACCGCAUGGUCCGCUGAUGAAACGCGCUUCGGCGUCACCUUGAGAUGGCCUUGCGGUGCAUUAGCUAGUUGGUGGGGCAACGGCCCACCAAGGCGACGAUGCAUAGCCGACCUGAGAGGGUGAUCGGCCACACUGGGACUGAGACACGGCCCAGACUCCUACGGGAGGCAGCAGUAGGGAAUCUUCCACAAUGGACGAAAGUCUGAUGGAGCAACGCCGCGUGAGUGAUGAAGGUUUUCGGAUCGUAAAACUCUGUUGUAAGGGAAGAACACGUACGAGAGGGAAUGCUCGUACCUCGACGGUACCUUACGAGAAAGCCACGGCUAACUACGUGCCAGCCGCCGCCGUAA
rnacentral:rRNA from 1 species